UACGUAGGGGGGCAAGAGUUGUCCGGAUUUAUUGGGCGUAAAGAGCGUGUAGGCGGCCAAACAGGUCCGUUGUGAAAACUGGAGGCUCAACUUCCAGACGUCGACGGAAACCGUGUGGCUAGAGUCCGGAAGAGGAGAGUGGAAUUCCUGGUGUAGCGGUGAAAUGCGCAGAUAUCAGGAAGAACACCAAUGGCGAAGGCAGCUCUCUGGGACGGUACUGACGCUGAGACGCGAAAGCGUGGGGAGCGAACAGG
rnacentral:rRNA from 1 species